rnacentral:pre_miRNA from 1 species
AAAGACUCAAUUCCUGGGUUUUCGUGUCCUACGUUUGACUGUUCGUCUUAUAUGAUUUUUUUAAUUAGUAUUUUCAUUGUUGUUAAAUGAUAAAACAUAAAUAAUACUUUAUGUGUGACUUAUUUUUUUAAUUUUUUUUCAUAAUUUUUUCAAAUAAAACGGACAGUCAAAUGUUGGACACAGAAACUCAGGAAUUGAGUUGUU